rnacentral:rRNA from 1 species
UACGUAGGGUGCAGGCGUUAAUCGGAAUUACUGGGCGUAAAGCGUGCGCAGGCGGUUUGCUAAGACAGGUGUGAAAUCCCCGGGCUUAACCUGGGAACUGCGCUUGUAACUGGCAAGCUAGAGUGUGGCAGAGGGGGGUGGAAUUCCAGGUGUAGCAGUGAAAUGCGUAGAUAUCUGGAGGAACACCGAUGGCGAAGGCAGCCCCCUGGGCUAACACUGACGCUCAUGCACGAAAGCGUGGGGAGCAAACAGG